UUUAUGGAGAGUUUGAUCCUGGCUCAGGAUGAACGCUGGCGGCGUGCCUAAUACAUGCAAGUCGAGCGAACGGACGAGAAGCUUGCUUCUCUGAUGUUAGCGGCGGACGGGUGAGUAACACGUGGAUAACCUACCUAUAAGACUGGGAUAACUUCGGGAAACCGGAGCUAAUACCGGAUAAUAUUUUGAACCGCAUGGUUCAAAAGUGAAAGACGGUCUUGCUGUCACUUAUAGAUGGAUCCGCGCUGCAUUAGCUAGUUGGUAAGGUAACGGCUUACCAAGGCAACGAUGCAUAGCCGACCUGAGAGGGUGAUCGGCCACACUGGAACUGAGACACGGUCCAGACUCCUACGGGAGGCAGCAGUAGGGAAUCUUCCGCAAUGGGCGAAAGCCUGACGGAGCAACGCCGCGUGAGUGAUGAAGGUCUUCGGAUCGUAAAACUCUGUUAUUAGGGAAGAACAUAUGUGUAAGUAACUGUGCACAUCUUGACGGUACCUAAUCAGAAAGCCACGGCUAACUACGUGCCAGCAGCCGCGGUAAUACGUAGGUGGCAAGCGUUAUCCGGAAUUAUUGGGCGUAAAGCGCGCGUAGGCGGUUUUAAGUCUGAUGUGAAAGCCCACGGCUCAACCGUGGAGGGUCAUUGGAAACUGGAAAACUUGAGUGCAGAAGAGGAAAGUGGAAUUCCAUGUGUAGCGGUGAAAUGCGCAGAGAUAUGGAGGAACACCAGUGGCGAAGGCGACUUUCUGGUCUGUAACUGACGCUGAUGUGCGAAAGCGUGGGGAUCAAACAGGAUUAGAUACCCUGGUAGUCCACGCCGUAAACGAUGAGUGCUAAGUGUUAGGGGGUUUCCGCCCCUUAGUGCUGCAGCUAACGCAUUAAGCACUCCGCCUGGGGAAUACGACCGCAAGGUUGAAACUCAAAGGAAUUGACGGGGACCCGCACAAGCGGUGGAGCAUGUGGUUUAAUUCGAAGCAACGCGAAGAACCUUACCAAAUCUUGACAUCCUUUGACAACUCUAGAGAUAGAGCCUUCCCCUUCGGGGGACAAAGUGACAGGUGGUGCAUGGUUGUCGUCAGCUCGUGUCGUGAGAUGUUGGGUUAAGUCCCGCAACGAGCGCAACCCUUAAGCUUAGUUGCCAUCAUUAAGUUGGGCACUCUAAGUUGACUGCCGGUGACAAACCGGAGGAAGGUGGGGAUGACGUCAAAUCAUCAUGCCCCUUAUGAUUUGGGCUACACACGUGCUACAAUGGACAAUACAAAGGGCAGCGAAACCGCGAGGUCAAGCAAAUCCCAUAAAGUUGUUCUCAGUUCGGAUUGUAGUCUGCAACUCGACUACAUGAAGCUGGAAUCGCUAGUAAUCGUAGAUCAGCAUGCUACGGUGAAUACGUUCCCGGGUCUUGUACACACCGCCCGUCACACCACGAGAGUUUGUAACACCCGAAGCCGGUGGAGUAACCUUUUAGGAGCUAGCCGUCGAAGGUGGGACAAAUGAUUGGGGUGAAGUCGUAACAAGGUAGCCGUAUCGGAAGGUGCGGCUGGAUCACCUCCUUUCU
rnacentral:rRNA from 1 species